CACGAUAGAGGAUGAGCUAAUUGACUGAGCAUUAAUUUAUAUUUAUGCGUUGGAAUUAACGAAGAGACUAGCGUAGAGCAGGACUCUUUACUAAGUCUGUUGCAUUAGGCUAAUAAGAGAGACAAUUAGGGGUGAAAGGCCUAUCAAAUCCUCUGAUAUCUUGAUAAUAAGUAAAUGUAUUUAGUACAGCUAACUUCAGUUAAUUGUAAAACAGCUCUUAAGUGAUUAGGCUUAAGAGUUAUAGCUAAAGUUUUAACUCCUGCUUAUGGGGCUGUCGAGGCCCUAAUUAAACACAUUAACAUUGAUUCUAAUUAUUCACUUAGGUCAAAUACUUAUUUAGUUUCACAAAUUUAAACUGAGGCUUGAUAAUGUUAACAUUAGUAAUUUUAACUGGUUUUUACACCAAAAUAGGUUUAAUGAACUCGGCAAAUAUUUAUCCUCAUCUGUUUAUCAAAAACAUAGCCCUCUGAGAUAGUUAUAGGGGGUUACCCCUGCUCAAUGAUUUUUAUUUAAUAGCCGCAGUACCCUGACUGUGCUAAGGUAGCAUAAUCACUUGGCCUUUAAUUGGGGUCUGGAAUGAAUGGGGCUAAUGGGGAGAAGCUAUAUUAAGCUUACUUAUUUGAAUUUAUUUAGAGGGUGAAAAUCCCCUCAGGCUUUAACAUAGGACGAGAAGACCCUAAGAGUUUUCAUGCAAACUAAAGAUUAAAUUAAGCUUGAACACUGAUUUAAUCUUUCAUACUUUAGUUUUUGCUGGGGCGGCAGGACUUCACCAUAAAAACAAGUCUUAGUAUUUAAUAUACAAGUAAAUAGUUUAUAAGAAAGGAUAAACUACCUUAGGGAUAACAGCACUAUUCACUAUUGAGUUUAUGACCUCGAUGUUGGACUAAGUAUCUUAGUUGUCAGAAGCAACUGAGCAAUGUUCUGUUCGAACACAAUGUACUUACAUGAUCUGAGUUCAGACCGGCGUAAGCCAGGUCAGAUUCUAUCCAUUACUGGUAUGCCAUAUAGUACGAAAGGAAA
rnacentral:rRNA from 1 species